rnacentral:rRNA from 1 species
AGCGCAGGCGGGAGAACAAGUUGGAAGUGAAAUCCAUGGGCUCAACCCAUGAACUGCUUUCAAAACUGUUUUUCUUGGGUAGUGCAGAGGUAGGCGGAAUUCCCGGUGUAGCGGUGGAAUGCGUAGAUAUCGGGAGGAACACCAGUGGCGAAGGCGGCCUACUGGGCACCAACUGACGCUGAGACUCGAAAGUGUGGGUAGCAAACA